UACGUAGGCAGCGAGCGUUGUUCGGAGUUACUGGGCGUAAAGCGUGCGCAGGCGGUUUUGUAAGCCAGAUGUGAAAGCCCCGGGCUUAACCUGGGAAUGGCAUUUGGGACUGCAAGGCUUGAGUGCGGCAGAGGAGACUGGAAUUCCUGGUGUAGCAGUGAAAUGCGUAGAUAUCAGGAGGAAUACCGAUGGCGAAGGCAGGUCUCUGGGCUGACACUGACGCUCAUGCACGAAAGCGUGGGGAGCAACAGG
rnacentral:rRNA from 1 species